CGCCCGCCCCGCGCCGCUCCGGAGCCGCCGGUCGGUGCGCCUUCGGGAGCGAGGGCGGCGGGCGGUUGUGCCCCGUUACGUGGGGACGGGGAGAGGGGACGGAGGUCUGGGAGAAUGGCGCCUUCGCCUCCGGUAGAGACCGGAGAUUAUUACAGAGGACAGUGGCAUCUUCCCCUUAGGCAGAGGCCGGGAGCGGGGUUCAGGGACAGAGUGGCAUCUUCCCCUCAGGCAGAGGCCGGGAGCGGGGUUCAGGGACACAGUGGCAUCUCCCUCUCAGGCAGAGGCCGGGAGAAGGUUCGUGGGGAAUAGCGCCUUCUCCUCAAGCAGAAAUCGGAAGAUGUGUACGAAAAGGAAUGGCACCUUUGCCUCAGGAGGGAUAUUGCACAUAUCCACGAAGGAACUGAUGCAGGCAUGCACAGAUGCUCAGAAAAAUGCUAAGGAGGACGAAUUUUAAUGGAAGAGGGCUAGGAACACCGAGCCUGAACAGCUCCUUGCUCUUGAGGUUGGUGCCAUUACAUC